CCUUUAUUUCUCCAGUUUUCACAAUAUACCAUGAGAAACUUUGUUGUAACUGGUUGAAUACCCGAGCUAACAUCAGAUCUUCAUGAUUCCCGGUGCCCGCUGCUAACUGUAGAACUAACACAAAUAAUCUGUGUUCUCGAACAAACCAAAUAUUAUUUGUAGACUGAAUAAAUUAUAUGUUUUCUGCAUAGGUAUCAACUCCUUAACAUAAAUGUAGACGCUGCUGGGAUAAACAAAAUGCAAAUUUAUUUUUAAAUUAAUUCAUUUGAAACAAAGAACAAGGAUAGAACAUCUGCAAUUGGGGCUGUGGGCUUUGAAAUAUUCCGAUGCCAUAAGGAACCUUCACACUCACCAGAGUAUAAACCAUUGACGCAUAUCUACUGCAUUUCCCGGUUUGGCAACUCUGAGAAAUGAAUUUUUAGUUUAUUGUGCGGAAGCUCUGAAGAGGCCAGGAUAAAGUGUACAGGAAGUCAUCAUUUGGCUGCGGAUGGGCAACUGGGUUUCCUACUUCCUCAGUAGCAAACAUGGGCUGUUUUUGACUGAGUGGCAUGCUUUGAAAGCGAGUGACAUACAUUGAUGUGCAACCCUCUGAUCUGAAGAGCAUGUGAGCAUGAUGUUCUUCCCUGAGCUAAAAGUGUAUGAACUAUGUGAAAGAUGCUCCCACAGGGGUGGGCACCAUUGACUCCAUGGGGCUCCCAAGGGAGGUGGACUUCUUGGUUGAUCAAGUUUGGUGAAGGGCACUAAUCCUUCAGCAACUGUCCACAAAAGGAAUUCCCUGAAGAACAGUCCCCUGGAUAAAACAUAAUUUAUGGAAAAUGAAGAAGUACCAAGGAAGGAUCUGGCCUCUUCCUUGGUCCUGGGCUCUGAUUUUUACUCUCUGGACUCAGAAGGAGAAAGACCACAAAACACUCAAUGAGGCCUUACCACUCCAGAAGCAAGGGGACAGCCAUCCGCUCAAGAGCAGGAAACUGAGGCAGCGAGCAGACCUCCCCCUAGAGACCCACAGCUCCACAUGCACCGGGGACCCACAGCUCCAGCACCUUUCCACUCUGGUCUUGCCUGUCUCUCCUUUCAUGGCCGAUGACAGUCAAUAUUAAAAGAGAUUUAGCUAUCGUUUUGUCAUUCCACGACUAUUUAUUGAGUAUCCACUAAUGCCAGCUGUGUGCUAGGCACUAAUAGGAGGGAGAAUGCUUGACACACAAUGAACAUUCAAAUAUAUGGGAGCUGCUGAUGAGAUUAUUAAAGAAUUACCAUUUUCCCACUUUUUGAGACCUACUAGAUGCCAGGUACUAUGCAUAAAGUCUCUCAUUAAUAUUCACAACUCCAUAAGGCAGGCACUACUAUUACUAUUCUACCAAUAGGAAAACAUGCUCAGAGAGGUUUCAAAAUUUACUUAAAAAAUCAUAUAUCUCCUACAUUAGGGA
rnacentral:lncRNA from 1 species